AUUGAACGCUGGCGGCAUGCUUUACACAUGCAAGUCGAACGGCAGCACGGGUGCUUGCACCUGGUGGCGAGUGGCGGACGGGUGAGUAAUACAUCGGAACGUAUCCAGAAGAGGGGGAUAACGCAUCGAAAGAUGUGCUAAUACCGCAUAUUCUCUGAGGAGGAAAGCAGGGGAUCGAAAGACCUUGCGCUUUGGGAGCGGCCGAUGUCUGAUUAGCUAGUUGGUGGGGUAAAGGCCUACCAAGGCGACGAUCAGUAGUUGGUCUGAGAGGACGACCAGCCACACUGGGACUGAGACACGGCCCAGACUCCUACGGGAGGCAGCAGUGGGGAAUUUUGGACAAUGGGCGCAAGCCUGAUCCAGCAAUGCCGCGUGAGUGAAGAAGGCC
rnacentral:rRNA from 1 species